AGUGAACGCUGGCGGUAGGCCUAACACAUGCAAGUCGAACGGCAGCACAGGAGAGCUUGCUCUCUGGGUGGCGAGUGGCGGACGGGUGAGGAAUACAUCGGAAUCUACUCUGUCGUGGGGGAUAACGUAGGGAAACUUACGCUAAUACCGCAUACGACCUACGGGUGAAAGCAGGGGAUCUUCGGACCUUGCGCGAUUGAAUGAGCCGAUGUCGGAUUAGCUAGUUGGCGGGGUAAAGGCCCACCAAGGCGACGAUCCGUAGCUGGUCUGAGAGGAUGAUCAGCCACACUGGAACUGAGACACAGUCCAGACUACUACGGGAGGCAGCAGUGGGGAAUAUUGAACAAUGGGCGCAAGCCUGAUCCAGCAAUACCGCGUGGGUGAAGAAGGCCUUCGGGUUGUAAAGCCCUUUUGUUGGGAAAGAAAGCCAGCUGGCUAAUACCCGGUUGGGAUGACGGUACCCAAAGAAUAAGCACCGGCUAACUUCGUGCCAGCAGCCGCAGUAA
rnacentral:rRNA from 1 species